CUUGUCCUAUGUUGCCAGCGGUUCGGCCCGGGGACUCAUAGGAGACUGCCGGGGUCAACUCGGAGGAAGGUGGGGAUGACGUCAAGUCAUCAUGCCCCUUACGUCCUGGGCUGCACACAUGCUACAAUGGCCGGUACAAUGGGCUGCGAUGCCGUGAGGUGGAGCGAAUCCCAAAAAGCCGGUCUCAGUUCGGAUCGGGGUCUGCAACUCGACCCCGUGAAGUCGGAGUCGCUAGUAAUCGCAGAUCAGCAUUGCUGCGGUGAAUACGUUCCCGGGCCUUGUACACACCGCCCGUCACGUCAUGAAAGUCGGUAACACCCGAAGCCGGUGGCCCAACCCUUGUGGAGGGAGCCGUCGAAGGUGGGACCGGCGAUUAAGACGAAGUCGUAACAAGGUAGCCGUACCGGAAAGUGCGGCUGGAUCACCUCCUUUCUAAGGAGCGCAUGCCGUUUCCGGAUGUUCAUGCCGGACGGUUGCUCACUGGCGUGGAACACUGACUUCCAGAGGCUGUCGACGGCCUGGUUUGUGUCUAGUACUCCCUAUCUUUUUGCGGGGUGGGGGGUGGAACGGGCGGCCGGGCUGGUGGAUGGUUCUUGUAUGGUGCGCUGUUGGGUCCUGAGGGAGCGGAAGCUUCUUCGGUGGCCAUGGAGCCCCCGGGUCCUCGUUGGGUUGAGGGUUCGGGGGCUGGCUGCGGUACGGACCAUGUCCUCCGUGAAACUGCCCUUGUGGGGGGGCCACUGUGGGUGUGGGGGUCGUCCGUUCUUUGAGAACUGCACAGUGGACCGCGAGCAUCUUUGUGGCCAAGUUAUUAAGGGCAC
rnacentral:sRNA from 1 species